rnacentral:lncRNA from 10 species
AUUGUGCCAUUGCACCCCAGCCUGGGCAAGAAAAGUGAAAACUCUGUCUCAAAAAAAGAAAUAAAUAAUUUUUAAGUAAGGAGAAUUACUAUUUCAAUUUCACAUCUUGGCUAUAUUUUGACAAAGGAGAUAAUACUCCUGUAAGAGUAUAGCAAUAUAGCAACAAUCGCCUGUCCCAAGCCAGGAAUCAAUCAGUGUUCCUCUCCCCAUCUCCACCCCAAUCUCAAGAACCUUUUACUUCCCAACUAAACAACACAAUUGGCAAAUGAAGCCUGUGUGAAACCUGUAUCAAAAACCAAUAAGAGAGCCUGCAGCGAACCAAUGUGUUACGCAGCUACUCUCGUAAAUGAUUACUUGGCCUCUCAUAGACUUCUCAGCAGAAGAUGGACCUUUAUAUCCUGGUGGAAAGACUAAUUUAAUAUUUCUGAGCAUUUAUUUCUAAUGCUAUAAUAUUUCUAAACAUUACAUCAUUAUUUUCCGCCUUCCACUAUCCUUUAAGGGCAAUUAAUUAUUCUUGCUAAGGGGAAUAAAUGGCAUAACAAAAUUAUAAUUCCAAAAAGUGACAAAAUCUAAAACAACAAAGUGGUUUUGCAUAUGCAGUCUUGGUUGAGAUUGUAGUGGGUUGAUUGGCCACAUGAUCAGAAAUUUAUUUCUGGAAAAUUUUCACAGAAAAAUGGGUAGGAAUGGUGGUGGGGUCCAUGUGGUAUAUGUCCUGAGGUCUGGGGCAGAGGACAUUUACCAAAUAAUGUCUAAAGAGAGUGCUAAGACCCAAAGCUAGAAAAUCCUGUCCAAAUGGGUUAUGGAAGUAAGAUGGUGCAAGGACAAGAGCAUAGAUUCUAAUUCAAGGGGAUCAUCAAGCCAGGCAGGCAAAGAAGAGAAAUGGAACAACUCUGGACAGUAACUGGCAGGCCAUCUGGAUGAAAGCUGGUUACAGCUGCUAUUGUCUAGGACUGAAUCCCUUGUGUUAGGGCUGGUCUGAUUCAUUUAAAAAGUCUUAGCCAGGCAUGGUGGCUCACACCUGUGAUCUCAGGACUUUGGGAGGCCGAGGCCGGAGGACUGCAUGAGCCCUGGAGUCCAAGACCAGCCUGGGCAACAUAGGGAGACCUUGUCUCUACAAAAAAAGUAAAAAUUAGCCAGGUAUGAUGGCAUGUGCCUUUAGUACUAGCUACUUAGGAAGCUGAGGUAGGAGGACUGCUUGAGUCUAGGAGAUCGAGGCUACAGUGAGCCAUGUUUGCACCACUACACUUGAGCCUGGGCAACAGAACAAGACCCCAUCUCAAAAAAGAAAAAAAUAAAAAGUCUGGAAUGGAGCAGACACUAAACUUCAUAUCCUGGCAAAAUUCCAGAGAUACUGUGUCUUUAGCUUAGUCCUUUCCUGUCCAAAGGGCAAGUUAUGGGACAGAUUGAUAGAUCAUUCAUAUCCAAGGAAUAGCACUGAUUUUAAGCAAUUUGAUUAUCAUGUUUGUUGGUGCAAUUUUAUUCAUGUUUCUUGUACCUGGGGUUCAUCGAACUUCUUUUUUUAUAAUUUCAAUAAGUUUUUGGGGAACAAGUGGUGUUUGGUUCCAUGAAUAAGUUCUUUAGUGAUGAUUUCUGAGAUUUUGGUGCACCUAUCACCUGACCAGUGCACACUGUACCAAAUAUGUAGUCUUUUAUCCCUCACCUCCCUCUCACUCUUUUCCCCAAGUCCCCAAAGUCCAUUGUAUCAUUCUUAUGCCUUUGUGUCCUCAUAGCUUAGCUCCCGCUUUUUUUUUUUUUUUUUUUGAGACAAAGUCUCAUUUGCUCUGUCACCCAGGCUGGAGUGCGGUGGUGCGAUCUUGGCUCACUGCAACCCCCUCUCCCAAGUUCAAGUGAUUCUCCUCCCUCAGCCUCCUGAGUAGCUGGGAUUACAGGUGAGCACCACAAGCCCAGCUAAUUUUUGUAUUUUUAGUAGAGAUGAGGUUUCACCAUGUUGGCCAGACUGGUCUCAAAC